rnacentral:rRNA from 1 species
CCUACGGGGGGCUGCAGUGAGGAAUAUUGGUCAAUGGACGAGAGUCUGAACCAGCCAAGUAGCGUGAAGGAUGACUGCCCUAUGGGUUGUAAACUUCUUUUAUAUGGGAAUAAAAUGUUCCACGUGUGGGAUUUUGUAUGUACCAUAUGAAUAAGGAUCGGCUAACUCCGUGCCAGCAGCCGCGGUAAUACGGAGGAUCCGAGUGUUAUCCGGAUUUAUUGGGUUUAAAGGGAGCGUAGGUGGAUUGUUAAGUCAGUUGUGAAAGUUUGCGGCUCAACCGUAAAAUUGCAGUUGAAACUGGCAGUCUUGAGUACAGUAGAGGUGGGCGGAAUUCGUGGUGUAGCGGUGAAAUGCUUAGAUAUCACGAAGAACUCCGAUUGCGAAGGCAGUUCACUGGACUGCAACUGACACUGAGGCUCGAAAGUGUGGGUAUCAAACAGGAUUAGAUACCCGUGUAGUC